rnacentral:tRNA from 1 species
AGAACUUUAGUAUAAUUUAGUAUAUUUCAUUGUCGUUGAGGAGGUUUUAAGUUUUA